GACGAACGCUGGCGGCGUGCUUAACACAUGCAAGUCGAACGGGCCUGUCUUCUUUUUUGGGGGUGGGUUGAGUGGCGAACGGGUGAGUAUCACGUGAGUAACCUGCCCUUCGGUCCUGGAUAACCGCUUGAAAGGGCGGCUAAUACGGGGUGGUCCGGUUGGUCCGCAUGGGCUGGUCGGGAUAGAUUCACUGUUUUUGGUGUUUCGGCGGGGGAUGGGCUCGCGGCCUAUCAGCUUGUUGGUGGGGUGAUGGCCUACCAAGGCGGUGACGGGUAGCCGGCCUGAGAGGGUGGGCGGCCACACUGGGACGGAGAUACGGCCCAGACUCCUGCGGGAGGCAGCAGUGGGGGGUAGUGCACAAGGGGCGGAAGCCUGAUGCAGCGACGGCGCGUGAGGGAUGGAGGCCUUCGGGUUGUGAACCUCUGUUUCCGGUGGUGAAGGCCCUGUCCGUGUGGUGGGGUUGACGGUAGCCGGGGAUGAAGCGCCGGCUAACUACGUG
rnacentral:rRNA from 1 species